rnacentral:rRNA from 1 species
GGAAUGAGCCCAGCGCAGAACGUUCCGGGGCACUCGCCCUGAGAAUGAAUGUUGCGUUAAGGAUAUUGGCAUACACCCAUGGCAGUUACACUUUGCUAAGUCAGCCUCGAAUGGUUCUCGUGAAGCCGGUAACACGGUGAGACUCCAGGGAGGGUGUUAGACCCGUGUGAAGGUGCAAUCUGCUUGGGCAAGCCGAUAUCCCGAGAGUCGCGUUGUUUGAACAUGCAGCGCUAAGCAGGUCGUAGACUCGAUCUAAGGCUAAAUAUGUCCACAGAACCGAUAGUUAACAAGUACCGUGAGGGAAAGUUGAAAAGCACUCCGUAACGGAGAGUCAAAAGACCGUGAAACCACUCAGAGUAUAAGCCAAUGGUGUCUGGAAGGUCCUGUGCUUACAUCUUGGUGUCAAGGACUCAUGCGAACCUCAGCACUUGCGGGAGCAAUCUCCGUUGCUUUGGUAAGCUUGUCCGCUGAAGCACUCCGUUGACCCACCUGGCUCGUUGUGAGGUGUCCUGAGAGCAAAGCGAAGUGUUAAGAUUGGCUUGGAGUUGGGCGUGGGCGUCUCGAUGCCUUUCGCACUCUCCUUUUCGAGCACUUCUUCAGUUCUAUUCGCACAAAGUGUGGUAGUCUUGGAGUGUGCGCUGCUUGACGCUCUCUGGAACCAUCCUCUGCGACGAAGCUUCAAUGCCUUAGUGAGCGGCCGUCUUCCUCCUCGGGAGUCGGUACAUUGGCGCGGCUUGCACACUGUCGGUGCUCCGCUGUUCAACUCUGGCGCAAGGUGUUACGUCCGAUACCAUUGGUCACGUCUCGAAACACGGGCCAAGGAGUAUAGCGUGUGUGCAAGUCUAAGGGUUCCACAAAACCUGGAGGCGUAGUGAAAGCGAGUUAUGGUGUCUCACUGGACUGAUGGAGAAGGCAGUGAUGCGUGAUCCCGCAAGUCCCGGACUCGUCGUCUGCACUGCUUCGGUUGUGUUAGCGCGAGCACCGCAGAGCACAUACGCUAUGACCCGAAAGAUAGUGAACUAUGCUUGGCGAGGGUGAAGCCCCAGGAAACUGGGGUGGAGGCCCGUAGCCGUUGUGACGUGCAAAUCC